UCAGCUCAUCACAAGCUAAUUCAACACUUUCAUCUGUAACCAUUUUUGAAGGGUAUUAUUUAUUAUUAAUUUUGAACAGUAAUGAUAGCGUACAGUAUUAAGCAUUAUGUAACUGAAUAGUAAAUCUAUAUUGCACAAUAACCACUAACAAAUGUAAAAAAAAAAAAAAAAAAAAAAGUAAAAAAAUUCAGUAUUUAAAAAAAAAAUGUAUCUGUAUUUUUUAACAGAUAUACGCACAGACAGAAUAUAGGAAAAGUAAAUCUGUAUUACACUGGCUGUUAUAAUAUAUUUUGCAUGAGUUUAUAAACACUCUGGAUUGUUGUGCAUCUCUCUUCUUCUCACAGGUGAGAAACAUGUUUCUAAAUACAUAUUCAUUUUAGAAAUUUUUUAUUUUCUUUUUGUUGAGUUCAUGUUAUAUAUGUGUACAGGAUCUGAAUCUCAGCAUCACUUCAGACUCUAUUUACAGUUUGCUUAACUUUAGUGUAGUUUAUACAAGCAACUGUUACAUUUUCUAAUCUCUCAGUACUAAUAUUACUACAGAUCAUCAGAAGUGCACUGUUUUCAAAAGUGAAAUGUUUUCAGUUGUGUUGGUACAAAACAUAAAAUCAAUACUGUUCGUAACCCCGGUUCUCUGAAACAUCGAGUGGAGACAUGCCCUUGGAUCUUGAACACGAGAUAACGAACGAGAACAAGUAUCCUAUUCUCUACACAACACAAGUGUUUCAUCUAUACAGCAUAAUCGUUUCAUUUACAGUAACUGCCAUUCAUAAUGCUCAAACAUUUCAUUUGCAUCUCUUCUCAUUCAGUGUAAUACAUUAAUCUAUUAUUUAAUCUGAUCUUAACAAUUAAUCAAUGAAUAAUUUGGUACAUCUACAGAUUUCUAUAGCCAAAUUCUAUAGAAACUGCAGUUUCUGAUAUGGAUAAUGGUGAUUAAAACUGUGAAUUACAACCAAUUUUCUUCAUUUACAGUGUGUCCUGAUCCAGACAGUGUCAUUUAGAUUACCGUAAUCAAACAGGAUCAAAAUGAGAUACGACUGGAGUGUAGAAAGAAAAACACAUGAAAACUGCUGGAGCAUCAGAAACCACAGAACAGGCAAAAACAAGAGAACUACAAGAAAAAUAGACGCCAGAAAUGAAACACAAACCAGUGAAUCAGAAGAGAAUAUCAGACAGAGACUUGUGAGACGGAAGAGUAUGGACAGAAUAAAUCCAGACUUCUAAUGUGAUCCAGACGGGCCUGUAAAGAUUCAGUCUGAGUUCAGAUCUGAGGUGAGAUUCUCACAUCAAAACCCUUCAGAUGUUCUCAAGAACAAACACCAUUACUGAGACACCAGCAGCAGAAAACCUGAACAUCUUCAUCAUCAUCUUCAUCAUCAUCAUCUCAGACUGCAUCCAUCCAGACUACAAUCUGUUCAGCUCAUGGAUUCUUUCAGCUUUUUCAGACUCAUCUGAUCACAAACAAACAGACUCUUGAACAAACUCUUUCUCAGAUCUGUGUCUCAAUACUGCUGUCACGAUAUCACUGAGUUUGGAAUUUUAGUUUUUCCUUUUGUAGUGUUUGUUGCCAUGGUUACUGGUUUGAUUGACAGGAGAUCCGACCCACAAACCUGACAGUAAAAUGGCGUGUCUUUGAUUUCGUUUUAUUAUUUUGUUCAGAUUUUGUUUUCGAUGGAUCACUUCACCGUCGUUCACCUGCUUUGCCUUGAGCAGAGGAAGCGCUCCCUCGAGGAGCUUGUGGAGGAAUUCAGAUCACAUUCCCUGAGCUCGAUCCUGCACUGAACCCUGUUACACGAGCGCAGCUAUCUGGGAGGGUUUAUGUGGAUUGAGUGGGUGCUGGUUUCCUGUGAAUCAGAAGGAGAAGCUGAAGACCAUACAAUCGUCCUUGAGCCUGAGCCGAUAGAUGCGUCUCAUCAGGUGUGUGAUCCGGCAACACCUCACCUGCUGGAGGAGUGCUGGUGGAUUCGAGGAGAUGGAAGUGAGCUCCACACACCGCUGACAGAGACUGUUUGCUGGAAUGUGACUGUGUUUUUCAGUUUGGAGAAGAAGAGACUUUGCUCCACUUAAAGGAUAAGUUCACUUCCAAAAUAAAAAUGUCCUGAUAAUUUACUCACCCCCUGUUAUCCAAGAUGUUCAUGUCUUUCUUUCUUCAGUUGAAAGGAAUUGAGGUUUUUGAGGAAAACAUUCCAGGAUUUUUCUCCAUAGAGUGGACUUUGAAGGUCCAAAAUGCAGUUUCAGUGCAGCUUCAAAGAGCUCUACACGAUCCCAGACGAGGAAUAAGGGUCUUAUCUAGCGAAACGAUCAGCCAUUUUCUUAAAAAAUAUAUAUUUAUACACUUUUAACCACAAAUGCUUGGCUUGCUCCAGCUCUGCGAUGCACACAUUACGUAAUCCUGUUGGAAGGUCACACACGGUUAUUUCUUCUUCUUUGUACGUUGGUUAAAAACUCCAUCUCAUUUUCUCCUCCAACUUUAAAAUCAUCUAACACCGUUGUUUUACCCUUGUUUUGUAAAGUGCAUUUGACUUUUUUGGAAGAAUGUGUGUAAAAUCAUGCAUCAGUCAUAAAAAGUCUCGUUAUCAAAGCUGCUAAAAGUUGGUUUGCUAUAAGUUUCAGCAUUAGUAUUUGUGAGUUGAAAACUGAAUUACAUUCACUGAAUUAACUUUUAAAAAUAUGAUGUGUAUUAAAUAGAAUUUAAGGAAUUGUUAAUAGAAAUGUGUCACUAGUGUUUUCUAUUUAUUGUGAUACAUUACGGUUGUUUCCAUCUUUGUCCAGUAGAUGGCACAAGUAUAUUUUUCACUGCAAUCUCAAAGGCUUUUAGUUUCAGGUUCCAGUGAGAAGAGAUCUGAUCUGAAGAUGAAUGAGGAUCAUAAUCUCACACAUGGAGCAUAAAGAGACUCAUCACACACAUCUGAUGUGUCUGAAUCUGAAUCAUGUUAUAUUACAGGAUCAGUGAUAAUCAGCUUCAUGAGGAUAUAACUGCUUUAAGAGAGAAGGAGAGAGCUGAUGACAAAUCUGACAACAAUAGUUUGAAAAACAAUAUGAAAACUAUGACUAUCAAUAUGAAGAUAUGAAAACUGGGAUUAAUAUCAGCUUGUACAGUUUGUACAGUAUAAUGGCUGAAAGGUUAUGCAAGACAAGAACAGUUCAAACUUAUAAUAAACUACUGAUUCUUAGUAAUACAAAGGUUCUGGUCAUAGAAGCAACACAACAAUAAGCACAAACGUAAAAAAUAGAUUAAAACAGUAGGCCUACGUAAAACAGUAUCUAGUAUAUAAGUUGCUAAACGUUUGAGCAGGUUUUGGGUGUGUUUCUGAGAUUUUUGUGAGUUUUAUGAAAUUAAUUUACAUUAAAUUUCUGUUUUAUUU